rnacentral:ncRNA from 1 species
GGCAACACGUUGAAAGGGAAAGUAACUGCCAGCAACCAGUUUUCAGCGAGCCGUUGGUAGGUGUGAAACGGCACUGUCUGCAGUGAGUGGGCCCUUGAGUGCAAUGAUGAAAAUUAGUAAUGAUUGCGGUGGUUGCGCCUUAAGCAAAAGUGGUGUCGAAAAACGGCACAAUUUAGGUGGUACCACGACAUUUGGCGUCCUAUUG